GGAGUGGUACUCAAGAGGCUGAAGAGGACGGUUUGCUAAAUCGUUAGAGUGGGUAACCGCUGCGAGAGUUCGAAUCUCUCCCACUCCG
rnacentral:tRNA from 1 species